UACGUAGGGUGCGAGCGUUGUCCGGAAUUAUUGGGCGUAAAGGGCUCGUAGGCGGUUUGUCACGUCGGGAGUGAAAACUCAGGGCUCAACCCUGAGCCUGCUUCCGAUACGGGCAGACUAGAGGGUAUGCAGGGAGAACGGAAGUUCCUGGUGAGCGGUGAAAUGCGCAGAUAUCAGGAGGAACACCGGUGGCGAAGGCGGUUCUCUGGGCAAUAACUGACGCUGAGGAGCGAAAGCGUGGGGAGCGAACAGG
rnacentral:rRNA from 1 species